rnacentral:rRNA from 1 species
GCUCGUUUGACAGCCUAACACAUGCAAGUCGAACGGCAGCACAGGAGAGCUUGCUCUCUGGGUGGCGAGUGGCGGACGGGUGAGGAAUACAUCGGAAUCUACUCUGUCGUGGGGGAUAACGUAGGGAAACUUACGCUAAUACCGCAUACGACCUACGGGUGAAAGCAGGGUGACCUUCGGGCCUUGCGCGACUGAAUGAGCCGAUGUCGGAUUAGCUAGUUGGCGGGGUAAAGGCCCACCAAGGCGACGAUCCGUAGCUGGUCUGAGAGGAUGAUCAGCCACACUGGAACUGAGACACGGUCCAGACUCCUACGGGAGGCAGCAGUGGGGAAUAUUGGACAAUGGGCGCAAGCCUGAUCCAGCCAUACCGCGUGGGUGAAGAAGGCCUUCGUGUUGUAAAGCCCUUUUGUUGGGAAAGAAAUCCAGCUGGCUAAUACCCGGUUGGGAUGACGGUACCCAAAGAAUAAGCACCGGCUAACUUCGUGCCAGCAGCCGCGGUAAUACGAAGGGUGCAAGCGUUACUCGGAAUUACUGGGCGUAAAGCGUGCGUAGGUAGGUCGUUUAAGUCCGUUGUGAAAGCCCUGGGCUCAACCUGG